rnacentral:lncRNA from 1 species
GGCAAUUACAGUUACGUCUCGCAGAAGCUCAUGGCAAUGAUGGGCUACAGAGCCGGUGAUGGUCUUGGAAUGUACAGCCAGGGAAUUCGGGACAUCAUUCCAAUUCCGAAGCCGCGUGACCGACAAGGUCUGGGUUUCCGUAUGGAUGGCCUCGAACCUGUGAAGGAAGAGGGCGUCCCCAGGCUCCAAGAAGGGGACACUCCCCCCCCCCCUGACCACUCCCGGCUCCCCUAAGAGGCCGGCCAAGAAGACAUCCUCUCCGGUAAGCAGCUCGGCGAGGGCCGCCUCCUCCUCUGGCCCUCUCUCCGCUACCUCUUCCCCCGAAAUCCUCGAGCUCAGGCAAGAGCUCGCUGUGCUUCGGGCACAGAAUGCGCAGCUCCGAGCCAAAGUUGCCGCUUUGGAGGCACGUAGUGCGCCGUCCACCCCCGCCACACCACCACCUUCCUUCACCGCAAUUACCGUUGCCGCUGAGGAAGCGAAGCCCACGUGCGCCGCUCCGUCCGUCCCGGAGCCCUCUCACACUGAACAGCGCUUCCAAGCUAUUGAAAGCGCGAUGACUGCUAUGCUGACACAACUCACCACCAUCAGAACAAGCAUCGAAAAUCUUUCCAACACCGUUACCCAUGAGGUGACGAGUAACAUUGAGACUAUGCUUCGGGACACCAACCCUCGAAGCCGCAGGAAUUGUACCCUCAAGGAUUUCUCAUCGACCCUCUAAAUUUUCUCGCAAUACGGUGGUGGCACCUAAACGCUCACCCCCAUUGCGAACCCG